CUCCGCGCGCAGACGCCGGACGCCAGGACGCGCCGUCCCGGCCGGCCCGUGCUCCGAGCCUCCCUCCUGGAUUCCAGAAGGAUGCCGGGUUCCGCUCCUCACCCACGCCUCGGCCCCGCCCAGGACCGACCUGCUGGGCAGGGCUCCGCCUCCCUCCUUGGUACAGUGUCCUGGCCUCUGUCGGGACUUUGUCCAGCAGCCCCAUCGUCAUCGCCAUCACCCUGCUUCAGGUCACCAUCCACCUUUCCCUUUCCUGGGCGGGCAGAGGGGCAGGCACUGCUUUCGCCUUCCGAGUGGUCCUCUUUCCUUUGCCGGUCUGUCCUUACAGUUUGUCCACUACCAAGCAGCCAGAAUUCUUAUUUCAGAUCAGGUCACUCCUGCAUAAUAACCUUCAACGGCUUCCCAGUUCACUUAGUCUGGAAUCUAAACUCUCAAUGGCCUGUGAAGCCAGAAUGGCUUACCUCUCCAACUUGGGUACCUGUGCUCUCCUCCUCACCUGUCUCCUCCUAGUCACGCUGACUUUCUUAAGCUUCACAGAACAUACAAGAUAAUUUCUGCCUCAGGGACUUUGCACUUGCUUUAUCCUCCUCCUGGAGGUCUCUGCUAGAUCUUUUUUUUUUUAACCUUUAUUUUACUUAUUUAUUUUUAUGUGGUGCUGAGGAUCCCAGCGCCUUGCUAGGGAAGCGCUGUACCGCUGAGCCACAAUCCCAACCCCCCUCUUCUAGAUCUUUAGUGGCUGAGCUUCUCACUCAGAUCUCAAUUCAAAUGUCUCUCCAGAAAGUCCUUUCCUGAUCCAUCCUUCUCUCUUCCUCUUAUCUGGAGAGGGCUUCCUCAUAAGUUUCCAUGCCAUUUCACAUUUUCCCUAGGACCCAUCCCAACAGAAAAUUAUCUUGCUCAGUUUUCUUUUUUAUAGUUAAUGUUGUAGAUAACUUUCUGCAUAGCAAAACAUCCCAAGCUUAGUGGUUUAUAGAGCUGAUACUUAUGAAUCUGAUUACCCAGGAAUUUGGACUGAACAUGAUGGGGAUGCCUUAUCUCUGUGCUGUAAUGUCUGGGACUUCAGCUAGACACAUACACCUAUCUAUAUGACCUGGGCUUCCUUACAGGGUGCAGUCUCCAGGUACUUGGACUUCCAGAGACAUGUCUUAACAAGAUAGAGACCUCAUCACCUUUUGUUACCUAGCCUCAGAAGGCAUGAAGAAUCACAUCUGCUGCACUGCUGGUUUACAAGUAAGACCCAAGACUUCCCAGAUUGAAAGAAAGGGGCAUUAGAUACCAGCUUUUGCUGGGAAUGAGGCAAAACCUAGAACAUGCAGCUAGCUGUCUUUGUAAAAUAUCAUCUCCACAAUCUUCCCCCACUGGAAUAUCAUCUCCAUGAAGCACCAUCAUAUUCCCUUUGCCUAAAAUGCUGCCAAAGCACAUUGUGAGUAUUUAAUUUUAGAGUGAAUAAAGGUUUGUCUUUCAAGGAAGCAUUGGAACCCAGCUCUUCUCCCUGUGUUUCCUGCACCAGCCUUUAACUUUGGCCUAGUCCGCUCUGGAGGAAGCCUGGCAUUUGUAUUAUAAGGUAGGAGUCAAGUAUAGGGGUUUUGUGGGGGAGAUAUAGGUCUACAGUUAUUGGGGAUUGAGAAAUAUGUGGCCAAAUGAGACUUGGAGGUGGUUUUCUACUCAAAGGGAUGUUGAAACCCCAGUCCGCUUUUUCCCAUUCUGAACUCUGGAAAUGCCCAGAUGAGGCAGUUUGUCCUCUAGGCUGUGAGAGCAGGAAAGCGAGUGGCCCAAGGUAAUGGAGCUUUGGGGAGGUGCACCAGGCAGUAGGGAGGGGCGAGAUGCCUAUUAGAAGCAACUGCAGUGACCUAGGCAAAAGGCAGCCUGAAGCUGCCCAUAAGCCUAAGAUUCUCAAAUUCUCCCUGCUUUGUUUCUCAUGAAGGGUGUUCCAUUGGAUCAUCUCAAAGUCCUUGAGCACUUAAUAGUUUCUCCUCCCCUCUUCCUUUUUUCCCUGAGGGGCAGCAGCAUCUGCCAUUCACCCCAAGCCAGAGAAGACCGCCCAAAGCUUCUCCAGGCCCAGCCCUCUCAUAUCAGUAGGGGGGCAGCCGGCUGGGGUUGUAUCUCAGCGGUACCUAGCAUGUAGGAGGCCCUGGGUUUGAUCCUCAGCACCACGUAAAAAUGAAAUAAAUAAAUAAAAUAAAGGAAUUGUGUCCAAU
rnacentral:lncRNA from 1 species